AUAUAUAUCAUAAAUUGGCACAGUUUGUAUACACAAUAUAUAUCAUAAUUUGGCAGUUUGUAUACACAAUAUAUAUCAUAAUUUGGCACAGAUGACACAAUUCAUAGCACUGUUCCAUAGCAAAUAUGACACAGUUCAUAGCACUGUUCCAUAACACAUUCAUAUCAAAUACCACACAGAGUAUACCAAAUGCCCAUAGCGAGCUAGUCCAUAGCAAAUAUAAGAGUACAAAGUUUUCCAUAGCAAGAGUACAAAGUUUUCCAUAGCAAAUGAACAAAGCAGGCAUCAGUACGUAAAAUUUGGCACUACAACAAAUGUCUUCAUGUCCAUAUCAUAGUCCAAAGAGCAUCUGUGUGGCAACCUACAAGAUGAAAUCAUCAACAUGUCAAAUUGUGGCAUAAUAAAAAAAGGGCUUUAAAUCAUCAAGAUGCCGAAUAGACAAAAGAAAGUACUUGAAGACCUGUCCAAUUUUGAACAUGUCAAUUUAACAUUCUAGAUCAUGAAGAUCUUCAAGAAUGGUCUCUAAAUCAUGAAAACAAAUAGCUACUUGUUUCUACUUAUAAGAUUGAUUCAUUUUAACACUGUAAAUCAUGAAUAUCUUCGAGUGCUCUCUAAAUCAUGAAUAAAAAUAGCUUCAACUGGUCUCUAAAUCAUGAAAAUAAAUAGCUUCAAUAAUGCAUAUAGCUACUUAAGAUCAUGGUUGAAAUGGUUCAAAUCUAUCAUAGUUUCAAAUGGUCUCUACUUGUCUCUAUUAUAAGUUUGAUCUUCAAAUGGUUCAAACGGUCUCUACUUACAAGUUUCUAAAUCAUGGAGAUCAUCAAAUGGUCUCUGAAUCAUAAAAAUAAAUAGCUAUGUGUCUCGAAUUAUAAGACUGAUUCAACUUAACACUCUAAAUCAUGAAUAAAAAUAGCUUCAAGUGGUCUCUAAAUCAUGAAAAUAAAUGGUCUCUACUUGUUUCUACUUAAAAAUUUGAUCUUCAAAUGGUUCGAAUGGUCUCUACUUGCAAGAUUCUAAAUCAUGGAGAUCUUCAAAUGGUGUCUAAAUCUUGAAAAUAAAUAGCUACUUGUCUCUAAAUCAUGAAUAUCUUCAAAUGGUCUCUAAAUCAUGAAUAUCUUCAAAUGGUCUCUAAAUCAUGAAAGUCAUGGAGAUAUGUAGGCACUAACCAUACUCGAUCUCAAAGAUUUGGAGAACCACCAUGGUCAUUGGCGUUUGGGCCUGAUGCAUGUGAACAUCCAUCAUUAUUUGAGCCAUGGCCUGAUUGAUACUGCAAAGCAUUACAUGGUUAGCACAAAACUCGGACUAAGAAAUGCAAUAAUGGUGCAUGCAAGUAUUUCAGAUAACUAACCAUAGGGGGUGAAGCAAUGUCAGGCAUCUGCAUAGCGGGCAUACCAUUAUGGGUACAAUAAGCCUGCAAAUUAUGUUUGAGGAGUGAAAGUUAAGUACUGGUAGUAAAAGACUAGAUGUAUGUGCAAGGCUAUUAAGGAACUAACCGCAAACAUUGCAAAGUACUGUUGCAUCCUCUCAUCCGCUAGUCGCCUCUCCUCCGCCCUCUUCUCAUCCGCCGGUCGCCUCUCCUCCGCCAACCUCUCCUCCAACUUCUCAUCUAGCAGUCGCCUCUGCUCCUCCAGUCGAGACUACAGAAUAUGGCAUUGCAAUCACAUCUUCAAAUCCAACACUAAGAAUUAAAAUAAGCAUACAUAGAAGGACUUGGAUAGAAUACCUCCAUCGCAACCAUUGCUGGAGUCGGGCGUUGACAUAUAGAAGAUGUUGAGAUACCUGACCGAGCUUUGUACUCGGGGAGAGUGCGACGGGAGGACCUAGGAUGCUUCAAUUCUACGUUUAUUUCUACAUUUAGCUUGAAGAGUCUUUUGCAUUCUCUCAAGUACAUAGCACCAACGGUUCUGCACAGGGCCACCCAUUCUUACCUCGGAAGGGAGGUGUAAAAUCAUAUGUUCCAUCGGAUUAAAGAAGCCUGGUGGAAAGAUCUUCUCUAGCUUGCAGAGCAACUCGGGGGCCUGUUUUUCCAUGUCAUCUAUCACGGUAGGAGAUACUUCUUUAGCACAAAGAACACAGAAGAAAUAGCUAAGCUCUGCCAAUACUUCCCAAUCAUCCUCAGGGAUAUAGCCUCGAAUCAUCACAGGCAUUAACCGCUCAAGCCAUAUGUGCCAAUCAUGACUCUUCAACCCACAGAGCUUCAAUUUAACAAGAUUCACUGCCCUCAUUAGAUUCGCUGCAUACCCAUCAGGGAACGACAUAGUUUUGAACCACAUGAGUAUCUCCUUCUUUUGUUCCCUUGUAAGAACAAACCUAACCCGUGGCAUUGUCCAAUUUUUCCGGCCCGCGGGUUGCCGCAAGUUUUGUUUGGGUCUAUCACAUAGCUUCAUCAGAUCAAGUCUGGACUUAGUAUUAUCCUUCGUCAUCUUGGGAAUGUUGAACAAUGUGCCAAAAAUGGCCUCGGCAAUAUUCUUUUCAGUGUGCAUUACAUCAAUGUUAUGGGGAAGCUCGAGCUGGUGGAAGUAGGGGAGAUCCCAGAAGCAUGGCUUGUGAGUCCAGGCGUGUAGUUCAUUAUAUCCCAGGAAAUACCCUGGACGGUUGGGAUCGGGCUGGAGAGCAUUUAAUUCAUCACGAAUCUGUUCACCCGUCAUCUCAGGUGGUGCCGAGUGUUCGACAACUUCACCUUUCAUGAAGUUCAUCUUGUCUAGUCUGAAUGGAUGGUCAGGGCGCAAAUGUUGUCUAUGAAAAUCAAAGCAAGAAUACUUGCCACCAUGCUGUAGCCAACGACACUUAAGGCUCGCCUUGCAUCUUGGGCAUGGGAACCUCCCAUGCACAGACCACCCCAUGAAAAGUGAAUAGGCCGGUAGGUCAUUCAAUGAGUACUGGUACCAAACAUGCAUUGUGAAGUUUUUUUUGCUAACAGCGUCGUAUGUCUGUAUCCCAUUCACCCAAGCUUCUUUCAAGUCAUCUAUCAGUGGCUGCAUGUACACAUUUAUAUUCUUCCCCGGAUACUUGGGCCCUGGAACUAUCAACGAUAGGAAUAUGUGCUUGCGUUGCAUCAGGACGCCUGGGGGGAGGUUGAGUGGAACAACAAACACGGGCCAACAACUAUAUGUCUUUGACACCAUACCAAACGGAUUGAACCCGUCAAGUCCGAUGGCGAUUCGUACAUGCUUUUCCUCUUCUACUUUCUGAUGAUGUAUUCGAUCGAAACUCUUCCAUGCUUGGCCACAAGACGCAUGUACCAUCGUCGGCCUCCCAUGAUCAUCCUUGUCAGGUCUUUUCCCAUAUUUGUGCCAUGUCAUCGUUUUGGUCGUAUCUUCGGUCAAGAAAAGUCGUUGAACUCUUGGCAAGAUUGGAAGAUACCGAAGAACAUUUGCAGGGACUUUGCUCUGCUUCUUCACACCAUCACCGAGGUCUCUCUCAACAUACCUAGAGGCUUUGCACUUGGCACAGUACUUGUCGUCGGCAUACUCUUUUGUAAAUAAGAGACAUCCGUUUGGACAAGCAUGUAUCUACUCAUAGGGCAUCUUAAGUGCACGGAGGAUUUUCUUUGCUUCGUACCAACUUUUAGCCAUUUUGUGACCUUCAGGGAGAGAGCUACCCCAAGCGGUCAUCAUCGAAUCAAAGCAAUCUCUGCUCAUGUUGAACUGGGACUUCAGAGACAUUGCUUGUGCGAUGGUAUCCAGCUAACACUGUAUCGUGUACUCGUGAAGAGGUUGUUGUGACGAAUUCAGCAUUUCUAGGUAAGCCCUCGCGGACUCCUCCGGUUCUUCCUCUGAUCCCUCUUCACGUGCAUCGUUGAAGUCAGCUACCAUGUCAGCGAUCCCGGUACCAUUGUCAUCGGUGCGCCGACGAACCACCUCCUCUCUGCUACAUUCAGGCUCGCCAUGAAAGGUCCACUGAGUAUACCCAGUCUUAAGCCCGUGCUUCUGUAGGUGUUUACCCAUCAUCUUCUUCGACUGUUCUAUAUCGUUCUUGCACUUCAAGCAGGGGCACCAACUUUUUCUCUUGCCACUAGCAAAUGCUGCCUCCACAAAUUCAUUGGUCUUCAUCACCCAUUCAACGGUCAUGCCGUCCGGACUAGGGUGGCCAGUGUACAUCCACGCACGAUCACCCAUACUUGCACUAACAGUAGAUACACCAAAUUUAUAUUCAUCAAGUUAUGUAAAAUGUAAUUGCGAAUAGAUACACAAGUAAUUACUUUUGUCAUAUUAUUUACGCCUUAGUUUUAUUUUUUACCAUACAAAAGAGAAACAUGCAUUCAUGGGUUGAAUCCUAUCUCUAAUAGGUAAAGAUGGGUCCUAAUCCCACCCGAGUACGUGUAGAUUGGGUUCGUUUCCCGUGCUCUACUCCGGUCUGAGGCAAAAUUUCGGCAGCACCUCCCCGCUGUUCUCUAGAUACACGUCUCGGCAACAAGCCGAGAGAAUAUGUACCCGGAGAACAAUGGGGAGGCGCUGACGAAAUUUUGCCUCGGACCGAAGUAGAGCACGGGAAACGAAACCCAAUCUACACGUACUCGGGCUGUCCAUGGAUAACAUAGACAAUUCGAAAGGACGACGGUUAUAAAUAUGCAAAUACAUGCAUAUUUAUAAAUGUCACCCUUUCGAACGGGAGACGCCUAGGUUACGCGACUUAACAUGAAAAUAAAAUCUAGUGGCAUUGGCACGACGACCGGAACAGAGUAAAUAGGGGGAGUGGGGAUGACAGUCGAGCUCACCCCUAGAUGAUCCGUAGAGGAGGUAGUAGACAGCGAUGGCGACGGCAACAUGACCAAUAGUGCUCCUGGAGGUGAAAAGAUUGAUCCCUACACAUCAAAGCACCAACACAACCAACAUAAGCACUCACAGAAAAUUUGAACAGAAACAAAGAUGAACAAGUAUAAAGAAAGGAUGCAUCAAUCUUCUUCAUAUAAUUGGUUUACCUGCAGAUCUUAUGGACAAGCAUUUGAACAAAGGCAACACUCCUAAAACCAAAGAUAUACAAUAUCUACAUUUUAGUUACAAUAUGGAUCAGAUUUACCUAUAUUUAAUCCACAUCAUUACUGUAAAUGUACUAUGGCAGUAAGCAUGAAAUCCUUGUCGCCAUUAAUUACUUUAUAUGGUAGGCAAAAAUGUUACAGAUACAAUUUUCACUUGAACUUUUGACAUACUCUGAUUGCUCAAACAAGAUUUCCUUUAGUUAUAACAACAAUACUAUUUCCAUGCUAACAAUCAUCAACAGAACUAGAUUACAGAUUCUUUUUCCCCAUCUCAUCAUGCUAAGGAGCGCAAAAUCAUCAACAUAACAGAAUAUAUAACAAAUGCGUGUAGCCAAAAUGAGCACAUACUAUUUUCUCCAAUUACAACAUCCAUUCAUCCAUCCAUUGAUCAAUACAUCCAUCCAUGCAGCCAUGCAUCCAUCCAUCUGGGGCAGAGAGGGGUAGGUAGGAGAAGGAAUGCUCACCGUGGGGGUAGAUGGGGCAGAGGGGGAGAUGGUGUCCGGCGGCCGUGCAGCUGCCUCUCCUUUGCAGUCCAGCAGCGACGAAGGUGGUGCCCUGCAGCAGUGCUGCCCUGCG
rnacentral:lncRNA from 1 species